rnacentral:rRNA from 1 species
GACGAACGCUGGCGGCGUGCUUAACACAUGCAAGUCGAACGAAGUGGCGAACGGGUGAGUAAAGCGUAAUCAACCUGCCCUUCAGAGGGGGACAAAAGUAGGAAAAGACUGCUAAUACCGCAUACUGAAGGUGGGGAUUGCGUCUGAUUAGCUAGUUGGAGGGGUAACGGCCCACCAAGGCGAGGAUCAGUAGCCGGGCUGUGAGGAUGACCGGCCACAUUGGGAAUGGGAAACGGCCCAGACUCCGACGGGAGGCAGCAGUGGGGAAUCGUCCGCAAUGGACGAAAGUCUGACGGAGCAACGCAGCGUGAGUGAUGACGGCCUUCGGGUUGUAAAGCUCUGUUAAUCGGGACGCGGUACCGGAAUAGAAAGCCACGGCUAACUACGUGCCAGCAGCCGCGGUAAUAC